rnacentral:sRNA from 1 species
AUCCUGUAUUUUCAUUUGCACACUUUGGCGCCCUAGUCCCAGAGUCCUGGAGCGGCAUACUGGGGGUGGCUGUGCAGUCCCAGCAUCCCCAACCUAGCAUGUAUAGAGAGCAUCCAUCCUUACAUCCAGCUGACCCAUGCCCAUGUGGCUGGAGGUUCAACAAUAACAUAAGUCUCUUCUUUGUCCUCCAGAUAUUUCUCCCUCGAGUGGCUGGGAAACUUGGCAAGAGACCAGAGGACCCAAAUGCAGACCCUUCAAGUGAGGCCAAGGCAAUGGCUGUGCCCUAUCUUCUGAGAAGAAAGUUCAGUAAUUCCCUGAAAAGUCAAGGUAAAGAUGAUGAUUCUUUUGAUCGGAAAUCAGUGUACCGAGGCUCGCUGACACAGAGAAACCCCAACGCGAGGAAAGGAAUGGCCAGCCACACCUUCGCGAAACCUGUGGUGGCCCACCAGUCCUAACGGGACAGGACAGAGAGACAGAGCAGCCCUGCACUGUUUUCCCUCCACCACAGCCAUCCUGUCCCUCAUUGGCUCUGUGCUUUCCACUGUACACAGUCACCGUCCCAAUGAGAAACAAGAAGGAGCACCCUCCACAUGGACUCCCACCUGAAAGUGGACAGCGACAUUCAGUCCUGCACUGCUCACCUGGGUUUACUGAUGACUCCUGGCUGCCCCACCAUCCUCUCUGAUCUGUGAGAAACAGCUAAGCU